rnacentral:rRNA from 1 species
UACGUAGGAUGCAAGCGUUGUUCGGAAUUACUGGGCGUAAAGCGCGCGCAGGCGGCCCUUUAAGUCCGUCGGUCAAAUGCCGGGGCUCAACCCCGAGCGUGCCGAGGAUACUGGAGGGCUGGAGACACGUAGAGGCAAGCGGAAUUCCGGGUGUAGCGGUGGAAUGCGUAGAGAUCCGGAAGAACACCGGAGGCGAAGGCGGCUUGCUGGGCGUGAUCUGACGCUGAGGCGCGAAAGCGUGGGGAGCGAACAGG